rnacentral:rRNA from 1 species
UACGAAGGGGGCUAGCGUUGUUCGGAAUCACUGGGCGUAAAGCGCACGUAGGCGGAUCUUUAAGUCAGGGGUGAAAUCCCGAGGCUCAACCUCGGAACUGCCUUUGAUACUGGGGAUCUCGAGUCCGGGAGAGGUGAGUGGAACUGCGAGUGUAGAGGUGAAAUUCGUAGAUAUUCGCAAGAAUACCAGUGGCGAAGGCGGCUCACUGGCCCGGAACUGACGCUGAGGUGCGAAAGCGUGGGGAGCAAACAGG